AGAUUAUAUUUGUUUAUUCAUGUAUGAAGAAAUUACUCAAUGGUAUUUAAAAUUUAGCAACCAGUAAUUUGUUUUAUACUUGCAGUGAAACAUGACUGUGUAUUUGGUGGUGACUUGGAUUUAAGUGAAAUAAGCUAUGUAUCAGAGGUUCUAAGGAAGCUUGAUCGCUCCAUUGUAUAUUCCUUGUCUCCUGGAACUAGUGUGACACCAGCCAUGGCCAAGGAUGUCAUUGGACUGGUCAGCAUGUAUCUUAUUACAGGAGAUGAUUGGAAUACAAAGUGGGAUGUAAAAGGUUACUUCGACGUAACGAGGUUAUUAAAUUGAUCUAUUUCAGUUUGGGUGCUUGCAUUGUAUCACUUCAUAUUACCUUUCAAUAAUGAUGCUUCUCCAUCCUUGGCUAUAGAAUAAAGUUAGUUUAUUCAAUUUUGAAUCAGGAAUUUUGCAACUGCUAAUCUGGUAGGAGCAACUGGCUUAAAUGGGAAAUUCUGGCCUGAUUUGGACAUGCUUCCAUUUGGAUGGCUAACAGAUCCUGGUAUAAAUGAAGGUCCACACAGGUAUUGUAGACUCAAUCUAGAAGAGCAAAAGACACAGAUAACACUUUGGGCGAUAGCAAAGUCUCCCCUAAUGUAUGGAGGGGAUCUGUGAAAAAUUGAUCCUAUAACAUAUGGCCUUAUCACAAACCCUAUCCUUCUGGAGAUCAACUCUUUUAGCUCAAACAAUAUGGAGGCAUGUGAG